AGAACAUAUAAAUGAAAAAUACAUAUAACACAAGAACCAAACCAAAAAUGAAUGAACGUUUUUUAUCAUAGGUCCACAUUUGAACAACCAACUAUUUAAGAUGUAAUAUAUAUAUUUUCACAAAACUAUCGAACAUCAAAGAGUGAAAAAAUUAUCUUGGUACGAAUAGUCUUAAAAUAUAUAAUGAUAAAAACCACAUUAACUAACUAUAUAUAAUAUAUUAUAAAUUAAUCAACACAAUGCAUGAAAAUUAAUACUCGCCAUAAGAUUUUUAACAAUAUUUUACUUUAACAAUUCCAUAAUAAUUAUUUGAAGCUUCAAAUGAUAAUUAACAAAAAAAAACUAAAAUACAUAAACAUCAUACCACAUAUAAAGUCAAUAAAUAUUAACGACUGAGAACAAGAAAAUAACAUCAAACUAAUUUAUUAUACUCAUUUGUAAAUUUCAUGAAUUAUAAAUCUAUUGUAUAGUGUCAAAAAUAUGUGGUACAAAAUAAAAAAGUUAAACAAGUCAUACUCCGAAUUUAUUAAAAAUUAAACAAAAUAAUGAAAAUUAUCUAACAUAUAAAAAUUUAUAAAAUACAAACUUAAACAAAC
rnacentral:lncRNA from 1 species